GAUUGAGAUUAAUCACCUCUCAAUUACGUCAUUAAAGCAUAAAAUUUACCAUAUUUUUCAACAAUUUACUACAUUCAAAAUGCUGCACAUCAUGCUGGUUCACAAUAAUAUAUAAUAUUACAGAAAUCAACGUAAUAUCGCUUCAAAAAAACUGCAACUACUCGUCAACAACACAGGAGCCAACUGACAGCCAUUUUCACUUUUUCGUUUGCGCUGAACGACGGUGAUCGGCAAUCAUCAAUUUACUUCCAAAGCUAUAUUUAUUUAUGAAAAUGUGAAGUUAAAUUAGUGCUGUGUUCAUAGCUCUUGCUGACAAAUAAAGCUCUUGCUCAUCGUGCUCAUCUAAUACUCAUCAUGAGGGCGAGGAAAACAAUUCCGCAGGUAAAAUAAUGGAGUUUGUGAGUUCGUUGCUUUCCUGCCUUACCCGUUCGUCGAUAAGAAAAAAAUAUGGUUCCGCAGGUACUCUUCCGGAAUCGGAAGCACACACAACAAAGGAAGCAAGCGAUUGGAUAAUUAUUAAACAGCAAAACAUGAGUAACUGUUGUACGGAGCUGUCGACAUGUCAAAGGCUGAUUAAAGAUCACAGAAAGCGGUAAGAAGAGCAACCAUUUAAGCAGCAUCUUUACUCCCGUCCUGAAUUAUUAGUUACAAGUUACGAAUUACCUAUUUUCUAUAGGUGUUCAGUGAUAAUUUGUAAAUAAUUAGGCCAUUUGCUUAGGAUGCG